GACGAACGCUGGCGGCGUGCCUAAUACAUGCCAGUUGAGCGCUGAAGGUUGGUACUUGUACCAACUGGAUGAGCAGCGAACGGGUGAGUAACGCGUGGGGAAUCUGCCUUUGAGCGGGGGACAACAUUUGGAAACGAAUGCUAAUACCGCAUAAAAACUUUAAACACAAGUUUUAAGUUUGAAAGAUGCAAUUGCAUCACUCAAAGAUGAUCCCGCGUUGUAUUAGCUAGUUGGUGAGGUAAAGGCUCACCAAGGCGAUGAUGGGUAGCCGACCUGAGAGGUUGACCGGCAACAGGGGGACUGAGACACGGCCCAGACUCCUACGGGAGGCAGCAGUGGGGAAUAUUGCACAAUGGGGGGAAGCAUGAUGCAGCGACGCCGCGUGAGGGAUGACGGCCUGCGGGUUGUAAACCUCUUGCAGUAGGGAAGAAGCGAAAGUGACGGUACCUGCAGAAGAAGCACCGGCUAACUACGUG
rnacentral:rRNA from 1 species